rnacentral:lncRNA from 1 species
CAAACAUAACCUGCAAUCUUCUCUCCCCCCAUGAAAAAACCCACACAUAGGAGACUACACGAAAACGGCAGCUGAACUCAGAAGCACUUCCUGUGGACGAUUGCUGGGCCGGACUCAUCGUACUCGUCCUUCGAUAUCCACAUCUGUUUUACCAAUCACAAGGAAGACAAUCAGAUGACAAGAACUGGUGUAAUGUUAAGACAAGCAAUAUGGCUUGAUGCCGGAUAAGUUAAAUUCAACAAAUGUGAACCCAACUGCAACAAAGCAAGCAGUACCUGUUGGAAGGUGCUGAGAGAAGCUAGGAUAGACCCUCCGAUCCAGACACUGUACUUGCGCUCAGGUGGAGCAACCACCUUGAUCUUCAUGCUGCUCGGAGCAAGGGCGGUGAUCUCCUUGCUCAUACGGUCAGCGAUGCCUGGGAACAUUGUUGAGCCUCCACUGAGCACAAUGUUGCCGUACAGGUCCUUCCUGAUAUCCACAUCACACUUCAUGAUGGAGUUGUAGGUAGUCUCAUGGAUUCCAGGAGAUUCCAUGCCAAUCAUAGAUGGCUGGAAGAGGACCUCAGGGCACCUAAACCUCUCCGCGCCGAUGGUAAUCACCUGGCCAUCAGGCAGCUCGUAGCUCUUCUCAACCGAGGAGCUGUUCUUGGCAGUCUCCAGCUCCUGCUCAUAGUCAAGGGCCACGUAUGCAAGCUUCUCCUUGAUGUCCCUCACAAUUUCCCGCUCAGCAGAGGUG